CGGCCGCGACUUCACUAGUGAUUGCUGAGUUUGAUCAUAGGCUCAGCUUGAGAACAAAAACAUGCUCCUUCGUGCCAGGGGAGGCAGCCAUGAAAGUAAAGCACAAUUAUGUCGGGCUGGAACACCUCCUUGUAGACUGCAUAAAAUCAGAAUUCCCGCGGGCCGCCGUGGCAGCAGGGGCGGUAAUACGGCGGGCCCGAUUCGCCCUAUAGGGAAUCGUAUUAGGAUUAAAGGGCCCGGUUUUUUACACUAAGUCAGUGGUGAAAUUCUGCAGCUCAACUGUAGGACUGCCAUUGAUACUGGUCGCCUUGAAUCGUUGUGAAGUGGCUAGAAUAUGUAGUGUAGCGGUGAAAUGCUUAGAUAUUACAUAGAAUACCGAUUGCGAAGGCAGGUCACUAACAACUUGAUUGACGCUGAUGGACGAAAGCGUGGGGAGCGAACAGGAUUAGAUACCCUGGUAGUCCACGCCGUAAACGAUGGAUACUAGCUGUCCGGCGCACAUUGGUGUGCUGGGUG
rnacentral:rRNA from 1 species